ACUGAUGCUGAAAGUAUAGUCAACGCUCCAACAAAAAAAUUUCACGCUCCCUCUCCUUUUUUCAGACUCCCUCGCAACCUUGGCUCCUCUCCCUCGCAUUUUUUUUCAAUCCCUCCCAAACUCACUCUCCAUUUUUCAGCUUCUAUCUCCUAAAAAAAUAAAACUCACAAUUUUUUUGGAUCUCCUCUAUCUCCUUCUUCUCUUUCCUCCAUCUAGACACUCGAAGUUUGGCCACAGCAAAAAUGACCUAAGGCCUUCGAAGAAAGGGAGAGCCAUAGGCAUCCUCCUCCUCGUCCAGAGAGAGCCAUGGAAGUCCCUUCAUUAGGGUUUUAACCUUCGGCGUUGGCAUCCUCUUUCUCGUCGCGUCGUCGUGUGAGAUUAUUUAAGUUAGGGUUUCAAUGUUUUGGGAAAUUUCAGUUAGGGUUUCAAUUUAUUGAGUAAUUUCUCUAAUCUUACUGUGUUUUUCUCUUUGCGGCUGGCUCAUUGUCUCUUGGAUCUCAUUGCCUCUCUGGGCUUUAAUCUAAUGUAUUUGGAGGUGACGGAUCUACGAUUUUCUCUUUCUCAAGAUUGCUAUAUCGCUCAACUCAUCUCUGUGUUCUCAGUUUCUCGCUCAAUUCGUAUCUGCUCUCACACUUUUCCUUACUCAUCUCUCCGCUUUUACUCUCUCACUAACCUCUGAAACCACAAACCCACCGAAGUCCCAACUUUUCCAAUUUUUUUGUGGUACUGCAGGAUUAGGGCCUUCUAAGUUUACAUAUAGGUAUAAUUAGUUUUCGUUAUAAACUACUAAAGUACGUGGUAUGAAACUAAUUUGUGUAUGGUUGUUGAAGGUCUCUCCUAGCAGGUAGUUUAUUGUUUCAUAUAUGACAAUAAGCUGUGAAAUAUCACUUGUGUGGUAAAUUAAGUUUUACUAGUUAAGCGAGAACUAUAAUCUGCCUUCCAAUAAAUCACCUUCCAUCUCUCAUCUGAUUUUGGUUUGUCUUUGUCUGGGUAAAGACGCAUUUAACUACUAAUAGGGCAUUAUAGGAAAAAUUCAAUUGUAAAUUAUCUAUUAUGUAGUGACCUUUCAAGUGGUUCUAGUAAAUAUAAAAAGUUGUGCCUUGGUAUGACUGAACAUUAAUAUAUGUCCAAUCUAUCCCAGAAUAAAGGAAUACAGCAGAGAAGCCGACAAACCAAUUCAUAUAUGCUCUCACCCUUUUCCAAUUUUUUAUGUUGCUAUGUUUAGGUUUCAAACACAGUAAGCAAAUUGCUUUCUCCAACUCCUAAUUCUCCUUCAGUCAGCCAGACUUGGGGUGGAUGAGAAGAGUACAACAAAUACUUGGUCGUAAACCCCAACGUAAUCUGCAUGCAAUAUAUGUCCUUCACCCAACUUUUGGCAUGAAGGCUGCAAUAUUUGCUCUGCAAUUGUUUGUGGACAAUUUGGUCUGGAAGAAAGUGGUAUAUGUAGAUAGAUUACUGCAGCUCUUCAGAUAUGUUCAUCGUGAGCAGUUGUUGACCAUCCCUGACUUUGUGUUCCAUAUAGAGCUAGAAGGAAGGACACUUACACCCAAAUGGAAUUGGAUGAGGUGCGAGAAGAAUUGGCAACUCAUGUCCUAGAAUGACUUUUUGAUUGAGCUAAACAUUCCUUCAUUUUACAUGUCUUUCUAGCUAGUAUUUUGUGGUGUAGGGCUGGUAAAUUUGUGAUUUGGAUGUGACAAGUAUGGAUAAUUCAAGUAUUUUGCGCAUAUA